AUUGAACGCUGGCGGCAGGCCUAACACAUGCAAGUCGAGCGGAGCGGCGGACGGGUGAGUAAUGCCCAGGAAUCUGACUGGUCGAGGGGGAUAACGUCAGGUAACGGGCGCUAAUCCCGCAUACUUUCAGAUGAGCCUAGGUGGGAUUAGCUAGUUGGUGGGGUAACGGCCUACCAAGGCGACGAUCCGUAACUGGUCUGAGAGGAUGAUCAGUCACACUGGAACUGAGACACGGUCCAGACUCCUACGGGAGGCAGCAGUGGGGAAUAUUGGGCAAUGGGCGAAAGCCUGAGCCAGCCAUGCCGCGUGUGUGAAGAAGGUCUUCGGAUUGUAAAGCACUUUAAGUUGGGAGGCGUUACCUACAGAAUAAGCACCGGCUAACUACGUGCCAGCAGCCGCGGUAAUAC
rnacentral:rRNA from 1 species